GGAGUUUGGGCCGUGUCUCAGUCCCAAUGUGGCCGGUCACCCUCUCAGGUCGGCUACUGAUCGUCGCCUUGGUGGGCCGUUACCUCACCAACUAGCUAAUCAGACGCGGGUCCAUCCUAUACCACCGGAGUUUUUCACACUGCAUCAUGCGAUGCCGUGCGCUUAUGCGGUAUUAUCAGUCGUUUCCAACUGCUAUCCCCCUGUAUAGGGCAGGUUACCCACGCGUUACUCACCCGUCCGCCACUCAGUCAUCUCUUAUCUUCACCCCGAAGGGAUCCGGCAAGAGAGCUUCGUUCGACUUGCAUGUGUUAAGCACGCCGCCAGCGUUCAUC
rnacentral:rRNA from 1 species